AAAGCCCCGCAAGGGGUAAGUAGAGUGGCGAACGGGUGAGUAACACGUGGGUGACCUACCUUCGAGUGGGGGAUAACGUCCCGAAAGGGACGCUAAUACCGCAUAACAUCCUGCUCUUGAACGAGUGGAGAUCAAAGCCGGGGAUCGCAAGACCUGGCGUUUGAAGAGGGGCCCGCGUCUGAUUAGCUAGUUGGUGAGGUAACGGCCCACCAAGGCAACGAUCAGUAUCCGGCCUGAGAGGGCGGACGGACACACUGGGACUGAGACACGGCCCAGACUCCUACGGGAGGCAGCAGUGGGGAAUUGUUCACAAUGGGCGCAAGCCUGAUGACGCAACGCCGCGUGGAGGAUGAAGGUCUUCGGAUUGUAAACUCCUGUUGCCCGGGACGAAACGUUUCGACCUAACACGUCGAGACCUGACGGUACCGGGUGAGGAAGCCCCGGCUAACUCUGUGCCAGCAGCCGCGGUAAUACAGAGGGGGCAAGCGUUGUUCGGAAUUACUGGGCGUAAAGGGCGCGUAGGCGGCCUGCUAAGUCGAACGUGAAAUCCCCGGGCUCAACCCGGGAACUGCGUCCGAUACUGGUUGGCUUGAAUCCGGGAGAGGGAUGCGGAAUUCCAGGUGUAGCGGUGAAAUGCGUAGAUAUCUGGAGGAACACCGGUGGCGAAGGCGGCAUCCUGGACCGGCAUUGACGCUGAGGCGCGAAAGCCAGGGGAGCAAACGGGAUUAGAUACCCCGGUAGUCCUGGCCCUAAACGAUGAAUGCUUGGUGUGGCGGGUAUCGAUCCCUGCCGUGCCGAAGCUAACGCAUUAAGCAUUCCGCCUGGGGAGUACGGUCGCAAGGCUG
rnacentral:rRNA from 1 species